rnacentral:rRNA from 1 species
UACGUAGGGUGCGAGCGUUGUCCGGAAUUAUUGGGCGUAAAGAGCUUGUAGGCGGUCUGUCGCGUCUGCUGUGAAAAUCCGGGGCUCAACCCCGGACUUGCAGUGGGUACGGGCAGACUAGAGUGCGGUAGGGGUGACUGGAAUUCCUGGUGUAGCGGUGGAAUGCGCAGAUAUCAGGAGGAACACCGAUGGCGAAGGCAGGUCACUGGGCCGCAACUGACGCUGAGGAGCGAAAGCAUGGGGAGCGAACAGG